GUCAAAGUCAUUCGGUCUGUUAGUAUGCCUCGGCUCAAUCAUUGCUGACCUUCCACCUGGCACCUAUCAACGGCUCGUCUUGCCGUGACCUCUGAGAGUACUCAUCUUGAGGUGGGCUUCCUACUUAGAUGCUUUCAGCAGUUAUCCACUCCGCACUUGGCUACCCAGCGUGUCCUGCUGGCGCAAGAACUGGUACACCAGCGGUGCGUCCUUCCCGGUCCUCUCGUACUAAGGAAAGAUCCUCUCAAUACUCUAACGCCUACACCGGAUAUGGACCGAACUGUCUCACGACGUUCUGAACCCAGCUCGCGUACCGCUUUAAUGGGCGAACAGCCCAACCCUUGGGACGUACUUCCGCCCCAGGUUGCGAUGAGCCGACAUCGAGGUGCCAAACCUCCCCGUCGAUGUGAACUCUUGGGGGAGAUCAGCCUGUUAUCCCUAGAGUAACUUUUAUCCGUUGAGCGACGGCCCUUCCACACGGCACCGUCGGAUCACUAAGGCCGACUUUCGUCCCUGCUCGACUUGUCGGUCUCGCAGUCAAGCUCCCUUCUGCCUUUAUACUCUACAGCUGAUUUCCGUCCAGCCGGAGGGAACCUUUGCACGCCUCCGUUACCUUUUAGGAGGCGACCGCCCCAGUCAAACUGCCCACCUGAAACUGUCAAGCGCCCCGCUCAGGGGUCGCCAUUAGAAUUCUAGCUCUUCCAGAGUGGUAUCUCACUGAUGGCUCCUCGAUGCCCGGAAGCACCGAAUCCACGCCUUCCACCUAAGCUGCGCAAGAAGAGCCCAAACCCAAUUCCAGGCUACAGUAAAGCUUCAUAGGGUCUUUCUGUCCAGGUGCAGGUAGUCCGCAUCUUCACAGACAAGUCUAUUUCACCGAGUCUCUCUCCGAGACAGUGCCCAGAUCGUUACGCCUUUCGUGCGGGUCGGAACUUACCCGACAAGGAAUUUCGCUACCUUAGGACCGUUAUAGUUACGGCCGCCGUUCACCGGGGCUUCGGUCGCCAGCUUCGGCCGAGGCCUGACCGACUUCCUUAACCUUCCGGCACUGGGCAGGCGUCAGCCCCCAUAUGUUGUCUUACGACUUCGCGGAGACCUGUGUUUUUGAUAAACAGUCGCCUGGGCCUGGUCACUGCGACCCCCGAGGGGGUACCCCUUCUCCCGAAGUUACGGGGCCAUUUUGCCGAGUUCCUUAGAGAGAGUUAUCUCGCGCCCCUUGGUAUUCUCUACCUACCUACCUGUGUCGGUUUCGGGUACAGGUGCUGCAGUUCAUAGGUAGUACGAGCUUUUCUUGGGAGUGUGAUGCAGGUGGUACUAGCCGCUCAGCUCCGAGCAUUUUUUCUUCUGCUCGUCGACGCCUUGCAUUGGCUAUCCCGGGAACCAACGUCCGGUCCACCUUAACCUCCUCCGUCCCUCGGUACCGAACUACUUGCAGUACAGGAAUGUUGACCUGUUGGCCAUCGGGUACGCCUUUCGGCCUCCCCUUAGGUCCUGACUCACCCUCCAUGGACGAACCUCCUGAAGGAACCCUUAGGUUUUCGGGGCAUUGGAUUCUCACCAAUGUUUGCGUUACUCAAGCCGACAUUCUCACUUCCGCCUCGUCCACCGGUCCUUCCGGACAGGCUUCUCCCUAGUGCGGAACGCUCCCCUACCGAUGAUUCACCAUCUCACAGCUUCGGCAGGCCGCUUAGUCCCGUUCAUUUUCGGCGCAAGAGCGCUUGACCAGUGAGCUAUUACGCACUCUUUCAAGGGUGGCUGCUUCUAGGCAAACCUCCUGGUUGUCUGGGCACUCUCACCUCCUUUGCCACUUAGCGGCCAUUCUGGGGCCUUAGCUGGUGAUCUGGGCUGUUUCCCUCUUGACGAUGAAGCUUAUCCCCCACCGUCUCACUGGCCGAUUGAAAGCAAGUCGAGUAUUCUUAGUUUGCUACGAUUUGGUACCGCUCUCGCAGCCCGCACCGAAACAGUGCUUUACCCCUCGACUGCCCAACUUAAUCGACCGCUGCGCCUCAACGCAUUUCGGGGAGAACCAGCUAGCUCCGAGUUCGACUGGUAUUUCACCCCUAACCACAGCUCAUCCGCCGAUUCUUCAACAUCGGUCGGUUCGGACUUCCACAAGGUUUCACCCAAGCUUCCUCCUGGCCAUGGUUAGAUCACCCGGGUUCGGGUCUCUAACAAGUGACGAACGCCCUAUUCAGACUCGCUUUCGCUCUGGCUCCGGUGUCACACCUUAACCAAGCCACUUGCUAGAAGUCGCCGGCUCAUUCUUCAACAGGCACGCGGUCAGGGCUCAGGCCCCUCCCACUGCUUGUAAGCGCACGGUUUCAUGGUCUCUUUCACUCCCCUACGGGGGUUCUUUUCACCUUUCCCUCACGGUACUUGUUCACUAUCGGUCACCCAGGAGUAUUGAGCCUUACGAGGUGGUCCUCGCGGAUUCACACGGGAUUUCACGUGCCCCAUGCUACUCGGGAUUCCAUCGAGAACGGAGUGGCUUUCAGCUACAGGACUUUCACCCUCUUUGGUCCAGGAUUCAGCUGGUUCGCCUAGCCGACGUUUCGUUCUCUUGAGAUGGUCCCACAACCCCGUGGCCCCGAAGAGCCACGGUUUAGGCUGAUCCCUUUUCGCUCGCCGCUACUCAGGGAAUCGCGUUUGCUUUCUUUUCCUCCGGCUACUAAGAUGUUUCAGUUCGCCGGGUUGCCUCUCGCCUGCCUAUGAAUUCGGCCGGGAGUUCAAGAGGUUGCCCCAUUCGGGAAUCUCCGGAUCGAAGCUUGCUUCCAGCUCCCCGGAGCGUAUCGUCGGUAGCGACGCCCUUCUUCGUCUCUGGGUGCCCAGGUAUCCACCAUGCGCUCUUCUUCAUUUGAC
rnacentral:rRNA from 1 species